AUUUCCUCAAUAUUUCACCUCUUGCAUCUAUCCCCUAAUAGGCCCCUUUGUUCCUUUACCAAAGUCCCCUAUCUAUGCUCCCAUGUCCCCCCUUGAGUUAAUGUUCUACCCUUCUGCCUAAGCCUCACCCAUGUGUCUGUGUACCCAUUUGUGUCUCCCCUCAACACUACCCUGAUCUUUGUAGCACAGCAUAGCAGUGUGGAAUGAAGAGUUCUGACAGCAACUUGCACUCCUGAC